rnacentral:rRNA from 1 species
GUGUAGUUAACACCUGCAUUAUUUGACGUUACCUACAGAAAGAAGCACCGCUAACUCCGUGCCAGCAGCCGCGGUAAUACGGAGGGUGCGAGCGUUAAUCGGAAUUACUGGGCGUAAAGCGCAUGCAGGCGGCCUGUUAAGUCAGAUGUGAAAGCCCGGGGCUUAACCUCGGAAUUGCAUUUGAAAACUGGCAGGCUAGAGUCUUGUAGGAGGGGGUAGAAUUUCAGGUGUAGCGGUGAAAUGCGUAGAGAUCUGAAGGAAUACCAGUGGCGAAGGCGGCCCCCUGGACAAAGACUGACGCUCAGAUGCGAAAGCGUGGGGAGCCAAACAGGAUUAGACUACCCCUGGUAA